AGCACGACUGCUAGAUCAUAUGGUAACAUUAUAUUUAGUUUUGUAAAAAACUGCCAAACUAGCUUCCAAAAUGGUUGUACUAUUUUGCAUUCUCACCAGCAAU
rnacentral:pre_miRNA from 1 species